rnacentral:misc_RNA from 1 species
CUCGAACGAUGUGUUUCUCGGGAAUGGGACGUUACCUGCUUAUAGCUUGAGCAAGAAGAACGAGACUAGCUUUCGAAACGUAGUGAUUUCAGGCUCAAAUGAGCUGGACGCAGACUCCGUUAACUCAUUGAGAUCGGAUCUGAAGAAGCAGAGCGGUGGGGUGACGUUGAAGAUUCAGUUGGACGCUAAAGUGAAAGUCAAGAUGGGUGGACUGAAAACGAAGAAGGUGGGGAUCAGGGUUACGUGUGAAGGGAUUAAAGGGGCC